UGUCUGGUGGCUGAGCUAAAAGCGAUAGACUGUAGAUCUAUUAACGGAAUUAAGUUUCCCCGACGA
rnacentral:tRNA from 2 species